CGGACGGGUGAGUAAUGUCUGGGAAACUGCCUGAUGGAGGGGGAUAACUACUGGAAACGGUAGCUAAUACCGCAUAACGUCGCAAGACCAAAGAGGGGGACCUUCGGGCCUCUUGCCAUCGGAUGUGCCCAGAUGGGAUUAGCUAGUAGGUGGGGUAACGGCUCACCUAGGCGACGAUCCCCAGCUGGUCUGAGAGGAUGACCAGCCACACUGGAACUGAGACACGGUCCAGACUCCUACGGGAGGCAGCAUG
rnacentral:rRNA from 1 species